GACGAACGCUGGCGGCGUGCUUAACACAUGCAAGUCGAACGAUGAACUUGGAGCUUGCUCUGGGGGAUUAGUGGCGAACGGGUGAGUAACACGUGAGUAACCUGCCCUGGACUCUGGGAUAACUUCGAGAAAUCGGAGCUAAUACCGGAUAGGACCUUGCACCGCAUGGUGUAGGGUGGAAAGUUUUUCGGGUUGGGAUGGACUCGCGGCCUAUCAGCUUGUUGGUGAGGUAAUGGCUCACCAAGGCGUCGACGGGUAGCCGGCCUGAGAGGGUGACCGGCCACACUGGGACUGAGACACGGCCCAGACUCCUACGGGAGGCAGCAGUGGGGAAUAUUGCACAAUGGGCGCAAGCCUGAUGCAGCAACGCCGCGUGCGGGAUGACGGCCUUCGGGUUGUAAACCGCUUUUAGUAGGGAAGAAGCCUUCGGGUGACGGUACCUGCAGAAAAAGGACCGGCUAACUACGUGCCAGCCGCCGCAGUAAGAC
rnacentral:rRNA from 1 species